GGCUGAGUAGCUCAGGUGGUUAGAGCACCAGAUUCAUAAACUGGAGGUCACAGGUUCAAAUCCCGUCUCAGCUACCA
rnacentral:tRNA from 1 species